rnacentral:rRNA from 1 species
GCACUCCUAGGGAGGCAGCAGUGGGGGAAUAUUGCACAAUGGGCGCAAGCCUGAUGCAGCCAUGCCGCGUGUAUGAAGAAGGCCUUCGGGUUGUAAAGUACUUUCAGCAGUGAGGAAGGUGGGUAUGUUAAUAGCAUAUUCAUUUGACGUUAGCUGCAGAAGAAGCACCGGCUAACUCCGUGCCAGCAGCCGCGGUAAUACGGAGGGUGCGAGCGUUAAUCGGAAUUACUGGGCGUAAAGCGCAUGCAGGUGGUUUGUUAAGUCAGAUGUGAAAGCCCGGGGCUCAACCUCGGAAUUGCAUUUGAAACUGGCAAACUAGAGUACUGUAGAGGGGGGUAGAAUUUCAGGUGUAGCGGUGAAAUGCGUAGAGAUCUGAAGGAAUACCGGUGGCGAAGGCGGCCCCCUGGACAAAUACUGACACUCAGAUGCGAAAGCGUGGGGAGCAAACAGGAUUAGAUACCCUGGUAG